AAGCCUGAUCCAGCAAGCCGCGUGAGUGAAGAAGGCCUUCGGGUUGUAAAGCUCUUUUACCCGGGAAGAUAAUGACCGUACCGGGAGAAUAAGCCCCGGCUAACUCCGUGCCAGCAGCCGCGGUAAUACGGAGGGGGCUAGCGUUGUUCGGAAUCACUGGGCGUGAAAGCGUGCGUAGGCGGCCAUUCAAGUCAGAGGUAAAGCCCAGGGCUCAACCCUGGAACUGCCUUUGAAACUAGAUGGCUGGAACACGGGAGAGGUGAGUGGAAUUCCGAGUGUAGAGGUGAAAUUCGUAGAUAUUCGGAAGAACACCAGUGGCGAAGGCGGCUCACUGGACCGUUGUUGACGCUGAGGCACGAAAGCGUGGGGAGCAAACAGGAUUAGAUACCCUGGUAGUCC
rnacentral:rRNA from 1 species